UUCCGAUUAGUCUAGUGGUUAGGAUAUCGGCUUGUCAUCCAAGGACCUCGAGUUCUGACAUCCGCCGGGGACCGGGGUUCAAUUCCCCGAUCGGAAG
rfam:Verticillium dahliae VdLs.17 supercont1.16 genomic scaffold, whole genome shotgun sequence.